rnacentral:rRNA from 1 species
UACGAAGGGGGCUAGCGUUGUUCGGAAUUACUGGGCGUAAAGGGCGCGUAGGCGGUGUGUCAAGUCAGGCGUGAAAGCCCCGGGCUCAACCUGGGAACCGCGCUUGAGACUGGCACGCUAGAGUUCGGGAGAGGAUGGUGGAAUUCCCAGUGUAGAGGUGAAAUUCGUAGAUAUUGGGAAGAACACCGAUGGCGAAGGGCAGCCAUCUGGACCGACACUGACGCUGAGGCGCGAAAGCGUGGGGAGCAAACAGG